GAUUAAGUUAUUAAGGGCGCACGGUGGAUGCCUUGGCACUAGAAGCCGAUGAAGGACGUUACUAACGACGAUAUGCUUGGGGAGCUGUAAGUAAGCUUUGAUCCAGAGAUUUCCGAAUGGGGAAACCCAGCAUGAGUUAUGUCAUGUUAUCGAUAUGUGAAUACAUAGCAUAUCUGAAGGUAGACGCGGAGAACUGAAACAUCUUAGUACCCGCAGGAAGAGAAAGAAAGUGGCGAGCGAAACGGAAGAGCCCAAACCAACGAGCUUGCUUGUUGGGGUUGUAGGACACUCUAUACGGAGUUACAAAAGAAUAAACUAGACGAAUCAUCUGGAAAGAUGAAUCAAAGAAGGUAAUAAUCCUGUAGUCGAAAGUUUAUUCACUCUUGAGUGGAUCCUGAGUACGACGGAACACGAGAAAUUCCGUCGGAAUCCGAGGACCAUCCCAAGGCUAAAUACUCUCUAGUGACCGAUAGUGAACCAGUACCGUGAGGGAAAGGUAAAGUACCCCGGAAGGGGAGUGAAAUAGAACUUGAAACCGUGUGCUUACAAGUAGUCAGAGCCCGUUAAUGGGUGAUGGCGUGCCUUUGUAGAAUGAACCGGCGAGUUACGAUUUGAUGCAAGGUUAAGCAGUGAAUGUGGAGCCGUAGCGAAAGCGAGUCUGAAUAGGGCGUUGAGUAUUUGGUCGACCCGAAACCAGGUGAUCUACCCAUGACCAGGUUGAAGUUCAGGUAACACUGAAUGGAGGACCGAACCGACUUACGUUGAAAAGUGAGCGGAUGAGUUGUGGGUAGCGGAGAAAUUCCAAUCGAACCUGGAGAUAGCUGGUUCUCUCCGAAAUAGCUUUAGGCUAGCCUCAAGAUGAUUAUUGGAGGUAGAGCACUGUUUGGACGAGGGGCCCUUAUCGGGCCGAAUUCAGACAAACUCCGAAUGCCAAUCAAUUUAACUUGGGAGUUAGAACGCGGUGAUAAGGUCCGUGUUCGAAAGGGAAACAGCCCAGACCACCAGCUAAGGUCCCAAAAUAUAUGUUAAGUGGAAAGGAUGUGGCGUUGCCCAGACAACUAGGAUGUUGGCUUAGAAGCAGCCAUCAUUUAAAGAGUGCGUAAUAGCUCACUAGUCGAGUGACACUGCGCCGAAAAUGUACCGGGGCUAAACAUAUUACCGAAGCUGUGGAUUGUCCGUAAGGACAAUGGUAGGAGAGCGUUCUAAGGGCGUUGAAGCAUGAUCGCAAGGACAUGUGGAGCGCUUAGAAGUGAGAAUGCCGGUGAGUAGCGAAAGACGGUGAGGUCCACCGAUUGACUAAGGUUUCCAGAGGAAGGCUCGUCCGCUCUGGGUUAGUCGGGUCCUAAGCUGAGGCCGAUAGGCGUAGGCGAUGGAUAACAGGUUGAUAUUCCUGUACCACCAUAAUUCGUUUUAAGCGAUGGGGGACGCAGUAGGAUAGGCGAAGCGUACUAUUGAUUGUACGUCCAAGCAGUAAGACUGAGUGUUAGGCAAAUCCGGCACUCUAAGGUCAAGCUGUGAUGGGAGAGGAAAUUGUUUCCUCGAGUCGUUGAUUUCACACUGCCAAGAAAAGCCUCUAGCUAGAAUUGUGGUGCCCGUACCGACACAGGUAGUCAAGAUGAGAAUUCUAAGGUGAGCGAGCGAACUCUCGUUAAGGAACUCGGCAAAUGACCCCGUAACUUCGGGAGAAGGGGUGCUCUUUAGGGUUAACGCCCAGGAGAGCCGCAGUGAAUAGCCCAAGCGACUGUUUAUCAAAAACACAGGUCUGCUAAACCGUAAGGUGAUGUAUAGGCUGACGCCUGCCCGGUGCUGGAAGGUUAAGAGGAGUGGUUAGCUUCUGCGAAGCUACGAAUCGAAGCCCCAGUAAACGGCGGCCGUAACUAUAACGGUCCUAAGGUAGCGAAAUUCCUUGUCGGUAAGUUCCGACCCGCACGAAAGGCGUAACGAUUUGGGCACUCUCAACGAGAGACUCGGUGAAAUCAUAGUACCUGUGAAGAUGCAGGUUACCCGCGACAGGACGGAAAGACCCGUGGAGCUUUACUGUAGUCUGAUAUUGAAAUUCGGCACAGCUUGUACAGGAUAGGUAGGAGCCUGAGAUGCGUGAGCGCUAGCUUACGUGGAGGCGUUGGUGGGAUACUACUCGCUGUGUUGAUUUCUAACCCGCACCAUUUAUCAUGGUGGGAGACAGUGUCAGAUGGGCAGUUUGACUAGCGGUCGCUCCUAAAGAGUAACGGAGGCGCUCAAAGGUUUCCUCAGAAUGGUUGGAAAUCAUUCAUAGAGUGUAAAGGCAUAAGGAAGCUUGACUGCGAGACUUACAAGUCGAGCAGGGUCGAAAGACGGACUUAGUGAUCCGGUGGUUCCGCAUGGAAGGGCCAUCGCUCAACGGAUAAAAGCUACCCGGGGAUAACAGGCUUAUCUCCCCAAGAGUUCACAUCGACGGGGAGGUUUGGCACCUCGAUGUCGGCUCAUCGCAUCCUGGGGCUGUAGUCGGUCCCAAGGGUUGGGCUGUUCGCCCAUUAAAGCGGUACGCGAGCUGGGUUCAGAACGUCGUACAGUUCGGUCCCUAUCCGUCGUGGGCGGAAAUUUGAGAGGAGCUGUCCUUAGUACGAGAGGACCGGGAUGGACAUACCUCUGGUGUACCAGUUGUCGUGCCAACGGCAUCGCUGGGUAGCUAUGUAUGGACGGGAUAAGUGCUGAAAGCAUCUAAGCAUGAAGCCCCUCAAGAUGAGAUUUCCAACUUCGGUUAUAAGAUCCCCAAAGAUGAUGAGGUUAAUAGGUUCGAGGAAGCAUAGCGAUAUGUGGAGCUGACGAAUACUAAUCGAUCGAAGACUUAAUCAA
rnacentral:rRNA from 1 species